rnacentral:rRNA from 1 species
AUGAGUUGGAAUGUGAGGGGGCUGAAUACGCCGGUGAGACGCUCUGUCGUCCGUGACAGCGCACAUGCACACAAACUUGCUAUAUUAUGCCUACAAGAGACUAAGAUAGAUUGCUGGUCCACCUGUUUAGCUAGAGAAGUAGGUGGCACUUGGCUUGAUCGGUGCAUUGUUCUUCCAGCCAUUGGAACACGAGGAGGGGCGGCCAUUUUCUGGAACUCCAGCACGGUAUCCGUGCAGUCUCACUCGAUAGGGCGUUACUCCAUCACGAAAAAAGUUUAGAUAGGCGGGACAAACAAAGAGUACUGGCUCACCAAAGUCUACAAGCCUUCGGAUGAUGAUCGGAAAGAUGAUGUCCUCGCAGAAAUAGCUAGGGUAGCCCCACCAACAGGCCAAGCGUGUCUCAUCAACGGAGACUUCAACAUUAUAUAUGAGGCAAGAGACAAGAGUAACAACAACAUCAACCAUAGGAUGAUGGGGAAAUUUAGAGCAGCGGUCGACGAGGGCGGCCUACGUGAAAUCAAGUGCAAAAACCGUCGCUUCACCUAG